rnacentral:rRNA from 1 species
CACGUAGGGUGCGAGCGUUGUCCGGAAUUAUUGGGCGUAAAGAGCUCGUAGGCGGUGUGUCGCGUCGGCCGUGAAAACCUGCAGCUUAACUGUGGGCUUGCGGUCGAUACGGGCAUCACUGGAGUUCGGCAGGGGAGACUGGAAUUCCUGGUGUAGCGGUGAAAUGCGCAGAUAUCAGGAGGAACACCGGUAGCGAAGGCGGGUCUCUGGGCCGAUACUGACGCUGAGGAGCGAAAGCGUGGGGAGCGAACAGG